AUUGAACGCUGGCGGCAGGCCUAACACAUGCAAGUCGAGCGAGCGGCGGACGGGUGAGUAAUGUAUGGGGAUCUGCCUGAUGGCGGGGGAUAACUACUGGAAACGGUAGCUAAUACCGCAUACCAUCAGAUCAACCCAUAUGGGAUUAGCUAGUAGGUGAGGUAACAGCCCACCUAGGCGACGAUGCCUAGCUGGUCUGAGAGGAUUAUCAGCCACACUGGGACGGAGACACGGCCCGGACUCCAGCGGGAGGAAGCAGUGGGGAAUAUUGCACAAUGGGCGCAAGCCUGAUGUAGCCAUGCCGCGUGUAUGAAGAAGGCCUUCGGGUUGUAAAGUACUUUCAGUCGGGAGGCGUUACCGACAGAAGAAGCCACGGCUAACUCCGUGCCAGCAGCCGCGGUAAUAC
rnacentral:rRNA from 1 species